UCACAUUCUUGUCCCAUCUAGCUUACUACAGAGUGUUGAGCAGAGUUCCCUGUGCUAUACAGUAGGUCCUUGUUGGUUAUUAAAUGGAUUCUUGAUCUGUCCCCGCACCCCAGGGACAGACUGUGGAUAGGGGUGUCCCCACUCGGACAGCAGGGCUGGGUGAGGACAUGAAGUGUGCAGGCAAUGGCCUGAAAGCCCGAGGUUAGGAGGGAAGGUGAGGGGCAAGGGUGCCGGCCAAGGGGUCAGGCAAGUGCCAGGACGCUGUGACAGGCACCCAGAAAUCCUUGGAAGGAUCCCCAGGAGCAGGGGUCCCCAACCUCUGGGCUGUGGACUGGCACCUCCUGUCAGAUCAGUGGCAGCAUUAGAUGAUUAUUAGAAAUAAAGUGCACAAUAAAUGUAAUACACUUGAGUCAUCUCAAAACCACCCCUUCCCGGGUCCAUGGAAAAAUUGUCUUCCUUGAAACUGGUCUCCACUGCCAAAAGGGUUGGGGGCCUCUGCCUAGGAGCACUGGACUGCUGGCAGGGAGGUGCAAAGCUGAAGAUUCUCAUUUAGUUUGAAGGGAAGGGCCACCCCAGCUGGUUGGCCAACACUGGGGACCCCUCACCAUGUGACAUGGGGCAUUUGUAAUACCUUCCAGGGUGCCGGGCAGCUGGCAGCAGAAAAGUUUGUUAGCAGUACUGACUGGGAAGGUGAGGAGGUGGGACCAAGCUAUGCUAGAAGCUACCUCAAUGAAUAGCGUGGAAAGAUCUCCGGUCUUGGGCUUGACGCCUGCAGAAGUAGGGCUCCCCGUGGUCCCCAGCCUUGGCGAAUGGCACACUCCCAUUGCUCCCCCCACCCCCAGAAGACUACACUUUUGUCAUCCUUGUCACUAAUGCUUCCUCACCUCUCCAGAUUGAUUUUUCCUUUUGUUUCCUCUGGAGCCCCUGACGAACACCAGAAUGUACCAUACGUUCACAUCUGUGCACUUAAGGGAGAAAGCAGAGUGGAGAUAGGCAUUUGGACUUACAGAAAGGAAUCCUGGAAAGUUUCCCAGAGCCUAGAGCGCCUCAUUCCUGAUCUCCACCCUGAACUCCUCUCAGGGUGUGUUGAAGGUCAGUGAUGGCAGGGGCGGUUGACUCAACCCCCACACAGCUGGAUGGCGGGCCACCUGCUUUGGUUGGUGGAAUUGGCUCAAUCCCGUCUAGGCCUUUCACCGAGGAUGCUCCUGAUCUUGAGCGAGAGGAACUACAGCACCGCACCCCCUCUGCCACAGCCAGGGUCUAGAAGCCUCACAGGGCUCCCUGGAGGACUGGUCAGGCCCUAGCAGGACCUCACUGAUACCUCAUUGUCCCAGAUGGAGACCAGGAAGAGCCGGCCUGAGAGCGAGAGGUGUAUGCAGGUCAGGAAGCAACAGUUACAACUGGACAUGGAACAACAGACUGGUUCCAAAUAGGAAAAGGAGUACGUCAAGGCUGUAUAUUGUCACCCUGCUUAUUUAACUUAUAUGCAGAGUACAUCAUGAGAAAUGCUGGGCUGGAGGAAGCACAAGCUGGAAUCAAGAUUGCUGGGAGAAAUAUCAAUAACUUCAGAUAUGCAAAUGACACCACCCUUAUGGCAGAAAGUGAAGAAGAACUAAAGACUCUAUUGAUGAAAGUGAAAGAGGAGAGUGAAAAAGUUGGCUUAAAGCUCAACAUUCAGAAAACAAAGAUCACGGCAUCUGGUCCCAUCACUUCAUGGCAAAUAGAUGGGGAAACAGUGGAAACAGUGGCUGACUUUAUUUUUCUGGGCUCCAAAAUCACUGCAGAUGGUGAUUGCAGCCAUGAAAUAAAAGGAUGCUUACUCCUUGGAAGGAAAGUUAUGACCAACCUAGAUAGCAUAUCUAAAAGCAGAGACAUUACUUUGCCAACAAAGGUCCGUCUAGUCAAGGCUAUGAUUUUUCCAGUAGUCAUGUAUGGAUGUGAGAGUUGGACUAUAAAGAAAGCUGAGUGCCAGAGAAUUGAUGCUUUUGAACUGUGGUGUUGGAGAAGACUCUUAAUCCCUUGGACUGCAAGGAGAUCCAACCAGUCCAUCCUAAAGGAAAUCAUCCCUGAAUAUUCAUUGGAAGGACUGAUGUUGAAGCUGAAACUACAGUACUUUAGCUACCUGAUGGGAAGAGCUGACUCAUUUGAAAAGACCCUGAUUCUGGGAAAGAUUGAAGGCAAGAGAAGGGGACGACAGAGGAUGAGAUGGUUGGAUGGACAUGAGUUUGAGUAAACUCCAGGAGUUGGUGAUGGACAGGGAGGCCUGGCGUGCUGCAGUCCAUGGGGUCGCAAAGAGUCGGACACGACUGAGCAACUGAACUGACUGAACUGAGGUCAUAAAGUGGGUUCCCUUGUGGCCUAGAUGGUAAAGAAUCCACCUGCAGUGCAGGAGACACAGGCUCAAUCCCUGGGUCGGGAAGAUCCCCUGAAGAAGGGAAUGGCAACCCACUCUAGUAUUCUUGCCUGGAGAAUCCAAUGGACAGAGGAACCUGGUGGGCUACACUCCAUAAGGUCACAAAGAGUAGGACACUCCUGAGCAACUAACACACACACACACACACGCACACAAACACAUGAUAAAAAUGCCCCUAAGAAACUUCACGUGAACAAAACUGCAUUCUAAGACUUUGGGAAAAAAGAAAAAGGACCUGAGAUUUGUAAUAGGCAUGCCAUUUGUGUGCAGUAGGAUGGUCCAUAGUAGAGAUCUUCCAAAGAGCUGUGUGUCAUUGUUCUAGCUUCGAUCAGCCGCCUGGAUGACAAAAGUGAUGCAAACCACAGCUCGCCACGCAAACCAGGAAGCUCGCGGGCCAUUAGGCUGGGAGGAUUGAGAGAGUGAAUGUGUGUGAAGCCCUGAGAACAGGUCCCAGCAUACUAUCAUUUCGGGCACAGAGGAAGAGCAUGGGCAGCUGGCCCAGGACCCACCGUGUCACCUGAACCAACCAGGAGAGGUCCCUGCUCACCCUUGAAGAUGCACUUGCCUUUGUCAUGUACAGAAGGCCCAGACCUACUGUCCUUCCCCAUGGGUUCUUUCAGCUCGCUGGUCCACACACAGUGAGCUGAGGGCCUUGGUACCCAGCAUGGUGCAAGGGCCUGUGGGGGACAUGUCCACAGUCUUCAGGGCAGGAGCCUGAGGCAUCUCAGCAUAGGGCUGCUUUGGAGAUGAAGACACAAGGCAAGCUGACCCACCACCUUGGCCAGUGACACCUGCUUUGCUUCCGCCAUAAUCAGCGCAUCAGAAGAGCAGUCUCAGGCAGGUGCCCAGAACUGGGGAGGAAUUUACCUCAAAGAGCAGUGCCCUCUGACCAGCCAAUACUGUAUCUCCCUCCACUCAUCUUCAGAGGUGCCUUUCUCAGCGCAAAUCCAUGAGCUGGCAGCACAACCAGGCUGUCUAAGCAGGAGGAAGCCAAGAAGGAGAUGCCUUCACUCCUCUGCCCAUCACCUGCCAGAGAACCAGGAUACUUGGUGGCAGCUGGCUUACCUUUCCCCAAACAGCCAUCUGUUGUGACAUCACUGUCAGCUGAGCCUGACUCGUCAUUUGUAUCAACCGGCUUCCAGAGUGUGCCGUGUGCCCAGGUGACCUUGGGAUACAGGUCCUGCUCUCCUGAAUGAGUUUUCCAAGUUCCAUAAUCAGCUUUGAAUAUCCUCAGAGUCCCUGUGGGCGCAUGGCAGUAGGUUACGGCAGCAUCACCGGAGCUGUUUAAAAUGUAACAAACCAAUAAACUCCCAGGGAGCUGAAGGAUGCCUACCCCUGCCGUGGUUCCUGCAGUGCAGCCAGGAAAGUUGUUAAAUGCCAGCCCAUCUGGUCUGCUUGGAACCCUUGGAUGGAAAGAGGACCCCUUCAAACAUCUGAACUUGAUCUCUACAAACGAGAAGUCUUGGGACCAGAAAGCCCCCAGGGUCCUCCUGGAAGAGGGCAUGGCAACCCACUCCAGUAUUCUUGCCUGGAGAAUCCCCAAGGACAGAGGAGCCUGGCAGGCUGCAGUCCAUAGGAUCGCAAAGAGUUGCAUAUGACUGAAGUAACUUAGCACACACCCACGCUCUAGGUCCUGCCUGACCUCCCAUCUCUGGGGGCUGCAUUGAUCAUUUAGCAAGCACUGGUCUUGACUUCCUCCUCCUGCAGGGGUUUGCCUGAAGAGAGCCCCCAGAUGGGGAGCCUGUAAGAAGAACUGCAUGCUUAUGUGAAUACUUGGAAGCUUACUUGGCCAGGUCCCAUAGUUGUGCUGUCUUUGCUCAAGAAAAUUCCAAGCUGAAAUUCUAUAUUCCAGCCCCUGUGGAGGGUGAAACAGGAAAAGUGAGAGCAAUCACGUCCCUCCAUUCCUAGGACCAAAGACUCAACGAUCAAAACAGACCCUGCCAGGUCAGGACAAUCCAGCCGGAAGGGCCUGUCCAGAGCGAUGGGGAUGGUGACAGAAACCUCACUUGUGGCCUCGAUUCUUCCCACCGGAACCAGCUGUUAAGCAGUGGGCCUGGAGCCAGAUUCUGGCUUUGAGAACCCAGGUCUGGAACGCCAGUCCUUGCCUUCCACAGUCUACCUGAUGGAGACCAAAGAUUCAUUCCUUAAAAUCUUAUUGAACAAGGAUGACGUGCUGGGAGGUACUGGUGACACAGCUGGGAAAGGUAGACAAGGUUUGCGUCUCCCUCCAGGGGGCUUCCCUUCUGGAGGUGGCAUCAGAUGGCAACAAGUGCUCGAGACCAAAGGACCAGGUGGAGGCGGGGCUGCUUUAGGGACGGUGAACAGGAAGCUCAUUCUGGAGAGGGGGUGCCUGACCAGCCCGCCUCCUAUCCCCUGUGGGCCCCCAGCUUUGCAGCAACCGCUGAGCUCCAAGAUGGGAAUGAGCUUGCUGUCCAAGGGCCAGCAGGUCAGAGUGUACCAACAAGGUGGAGAGAAGGGAGAUGCAGUCCAAGUGCCCAGCAGGCUCAGUCCGUGGUCAAGAGCCUGGAUUUUAUUUGAAUGAUGACAGGGAAGCUGCUGGAAAGUCAGUCUUAGCCCAGGUUCUCACCUUCUCCCGUAAAGGUCAUCAGACAGAGAGGAUAGGGGCUGAGGCAGAGUGGAGAGUGCAGAGACCCACAGGUUACAGCCAGGUGGCCCCUUCCGGAAGAGGGUGUGUGAGGCGCCUGGCUGCUGCUGUCUGCUGUCCAAAGGUUGGCGCCUGAAGUUUGGGGUUUUCCCAGGAUGUAUGCUUCUAUUUCCUGAAUCUCAUGUGCUUCUCCAGAAAGCCAGGAGGGGUCCUGAUGAGGUGUCAGAUCCUGUAGCAGUCAUUUUUAGGUCCCGAUGACCUUUUAAUGCGGGCCAGGAUGGUCCCGUGCGCCUAUGCAGAAGGCCAAGAAAAGACAGUUCAAACUGUCCUGGGGAUGAACAGACCCGAGCCCUGGCCCAGAGACUGACUUGGGAGAAAGUCAGUCGGGCACCUUGACCAUGAGCUGGAUGAAAACAUUUUGACCAGUGGUUCUCAGAGUGUGGCCUGCGCAUCAGCAUCAUGUGGGAACUUGUUAGAAACGCUAAACAGAGACUCAGCUUUCUAUAUCUGAACAUGUACUCUAGAUGAUUCUCAUACUCAAUAAAGCUUCAACGCCACUCUGUUAGAAAAAAGCUGGGUGGAUGGUUAAAAAAAAAAACACUUUGCUUUGGCUGAGACUUGGUUCAAAUUAGAGCAAAAACAGAAAACUUCAUGGCAGGGGGAUGUGGGAUGUAGUCUGUGCCUCAAACUCAACCAAACACAGAAACUAAUAUAUCCAGGUUAUAACUUUUCAACCCAAC